UUUUAUUAUUUUACUUCUUUUUGUCCUUGCCAAAUUUACUAUUAAAUUUCCUUCAUUCACCCUUUCUGUUUUUUUUUUUUACAUUUUGUAUGAUAAAAGAGUGAGCUGUUUGUAAAAGAAGAAGUCCCGGUCACACCUUUGAUAUGAUAAACAGGUCCUUCUGAUUGCAAACAGAUUAGUAAAGUUUCCCAGGUCUAUACCAAAUGCAACAAAGUGGAUAUAACUAGAGGGUCUAGUGCUGGGUGCAAUGUAAAUAUCCAUUGUGCUUGGUCUGGAUGCAGCAGGGCCGCCUCUACACAAGCCGUGAGCACCUGGGACACCUCCCACCACGGCGCACACAGGAGACAUGACGGAGAAGCAGUAGCUGUGGACGCAUGAGGAACAUGUGAACAUCAACAAACAGGAAGUGACCUCUUGUACACCCAGUAGGAUCCCCGCCAGGAGCAAGCUGGAGCUGCUUCGGAUGUACCUGAUGAAGUCGUCGCUAAGGAUGUCAGCGCUCACGCCCAAGGCCUCCAGGACAUCGUCACGGAUCUGCCUCAAGAGUUGACUGUCCUCUGCAAAGGACUGUGGCUCGGGGUCACGACCUUUAUCCGUACGGAACUUCAGCAGGACUGCAUAGGACAAACAAAGCUUUUUAGCAACCACUUUUUUUUUUGUUUGCACAUGUUUUUUUUCCCCCUUCUGAUUUUACAGUACACACACCACAGUGACAGUGGUGAUGAUUGACAAGUGAUCUGUCCUGGCUUAGCCCCGCCUCUUGCCCUAAAGUCAGCUGGUUUCGAGUCCAGUGUUGCACCACUGCAUGAGUUAGUGGCAGCACAAGGUUGCUGGACACCACAAACUGGACUGAGACAGGAAGCAGUCGGCAGGGAGGAAGAGUCACUUCCUCACGCUCUCGGCUAACACCACUUCCUGUGAUACUUCCACAAACACACCAAGACACAGCCCCACCCUGAACAAUACGCCAUCAUUUUUUUCCCCUUUCAAGGAAGUCAAUUGCAGUAAUGUUUUUUUUUUUGCUUGGUUUUUACACCCAGUGCCUUUUCUGGCGCAACCCUGGCUGGGAAUCAAACUGAUGUGUGUGCCAUGAAAGGCAGAAGUGUGCACCAUGACUAAAGAUGAGGCCGAUUCCAUCCAGUAUCGGUUUCUGAUACCAGCAAAAUCAAUGCAUACCACUGGGGAGCUCUGCUCCAUGAGCCCUAUCUUAGCUGUAAGUUGUCAGCAAACGUAGCCAAAACAUUAUCAACCAACAUAGUAAGAUAUCAGCAAAUGUAAAGUAACCAAAGGAGUAUCAGCGACCCAGAUGCUUAAAACUUGGUAUACUUAUGCAACACCAUAGCCUGAUACAACCCUUGAAAUUUUGAAGCUGUAAGUCCAAACAUACAGUAGUUCAGUUAUAAAAAAAUGUGCAUUUCCGUCCUUUUCCAAGUAAUGGUGGCAGUUCUAGGGAGACCCCACUUUGACCCAGACACUCGAAAUUUGGUAUACAUAUACAAAACCAACCACCUGUAAACAUGUACAAAUGUAUCGUAAUCUUGGCACAAAGGUGGGGACAGACUGGAAUAACCAUGAUAAGCAUGUUCUUCCGUCAUUAAAUGCUCAGAAUGGUGCUGCCAAAUACCGUGUAGCAGGAAAUAGUCCACAGGUGUCUUCUUCAGACAGGCUUUGGCCUUCUCUGUGGUCCAGUCCACCUGCAGCGCCUCCUUCAGCCUGCAGAACCUCGCCGUCUGUUUGGGUCCACAUAAGAAACAACACAUCACAUCAUCACCAUAAAUGUACUUUUUUACUAAAUACAAAAUUCUUGAUUAUUGUUUCAUUUAAUUAUUGUAUUCAGUGAUUUAUUAAAUGCUAAACUUCUAAUUUUGGCCCACUCUCACCUUUUUGACCAUUGUGGUCUCAUUGGGGUCCACUUUGGCCUUCUUAGCCUCAGGCCCAUCGUUGGAGUCUGCUGAGGGCUUCACUACUUUGGGUUUCUCCCUGAGGACCAAAGGAAAGUCCGGUAAAGUGAACCCUAGAAGCGACACAUGUUAGCGCAGGGGUGUCCAAGCUUUUUCCACUGAGGGCCACAUACUAAAAAAGUAAAGGAUGCAAGGGCCACUGUGAUAUUUUGUAUUAUUUCCAGUAAUUACAACUUUAUUUUGUUUUGUUUGUUUCCCAUAACAUUAUGACUUAUUUUUUAUGUAUUUUUUCUUUAAUAAACUGUGAUAACUUGUGUUAUUUCCA